CUUCAAGAUGCCCAGGUUCUAAUCAUGGGCCUCUUUGGAGGUGGAGGAGGGAGGGAGAUGGGUUUUCUUUCAGCAUCUUCAGAUCUUUCCCUACAUUGGUAAAAAUUCAAUUUGGGUCUAAAUUCUCCCUGCACUUCUGGGUUGUGCUAUCUGCCUGCUUUGGGCAGCCUUUGGGGAAGUCAUGUGGCAUCUGGCAUGGUUUCAUCUGAACCUAGAAAUUGUGAGAGAAGCCGCUGGGGCUCCUUCCUUGGUAGCCCUGAGGAAGGCUCCUUGCUAAUGCUCUCCUGGAUGAGGCAGGCAGUGGUGUUAGGAGAGGAGGAGAUAUGCUGGUAUCAUAGCUGGGUUCUUCUUGAACAGGCAUCUGAGAACCAGAUGACGCUGCAAAAGUGCAUACACUGACUGAUAGUGUAACUGUAGGAUAGCUAACUGAUAUGGUUUUCAUGAAGUAAAACAACUUUUGGUUUCUCUAUAGCAUGAAAAGUGAAAAUUAUAUACUAACCAUUAGACUUGCAAGGACUUGAAUGGCAUUAGGAACAGUGAAUGGGCUGUGCUUGAUCUAUAUGGGUUUUAUCAUCAAAACUAAAAGUGCCCUUUACUGGAGGUUUUGCAAGCCUUUGCCAUAAAUUUUCUGAGAUUGUGACUGUUUAUUGGGCAUUUAGUUUGUCAUGGUGUUAGAUUGACCAGGCAGUUGCUCAUGUUGGAAUUUGUAGGUUAUGAUUUGAUAAAUUAGAUGACUGAAGCUACAUAGGGAGUAAGUUUGUGUUUGGCUUUUCUUUGAUAAUUCACUGGAAAACUGUGAAUAAUAAUAUUGCAUAUAAAAAAGACAAGGAUGGAUAAAAGUAGAAGGGAAUAAAUUUUCUCUGUAAGUAGCAAACAGCCAUGAAUCUCUUAUUAAAUUUUACAGGCAGGGUGCCUGUAACUCUGAGUGUGAAUUCUUACUGUAAGGAAAAUUUAUACCAGAUACGGAUGUGUUCCAAGGCAACCAAACAGAGCUGAAAUGUUUUUACAUCGUGACCAUGUUUUUGGAGUGGGGUCUAGGGAGCAGGGUCAAGAGUAAAAUGUGAAGCCCUUAUUGAAAUUUUUAAUCAUGUAUUGGUUGUAAGCAAUGGAGCUAAAUUUGGCUAAUUUGAGAGAGAAAUUAUUUGUUGAAAGGACACUGAGAUAGAGAACUAGUCUUGGGACUCCAUGGAUGGGAACAGCCCAAAUCAUGCUGUAGACCUAGCUCAGUGGGGACAUUGCUGUCACUGCUGCUAGGAACUACAGCUUGCAUUGUUGACAUCACUAACAAUGGACUCUAGAAGCUGCCAUCAACUCUGCUGUCCCUAAUACCUAAAAAUUUGAUUUUUUUCGACAUCCAACUCCAUUAUUAUAGAUAAUUUAUUCCUUCUGUGCCUCACGAGACAAAGGGAAUGCAACUGCCUUGGCCAGCAGGGUCUGUCAUGGGAUUUGGUGGGUGCAGGGAAAUUAGGGUCAUCCAAAUCUGUCGACUCCCCCUCCCCCAUUCCAUAGCCCAGGUUUGUUCUGUCCUGAUCAGUGCUUUUACUUUCACAUAAGUGAUCUCAGUGGGCUGUGACUUCAACUGACAUUAUAACUUAGAAACCUGCAGGAUCAAAGUUUGAGUUUGAUUUUCAGUUAUCUCAGCCCUGCGGCUGAAAGCGAUAAGAGAUUCUUUUAGCAGCCAGAGAAACAUGGGAUUUCACUUCAUGCCUCUAGCCAAGAAUUUGUGAUUUCAGCUUGUCAUUCUUUUCCUCUAAGCAGUGUAGCACUGUUAGAACCAUCCUCCAUGUGCCACAGUUCUUGAAUUCCUCACACCUUUUAUAUGCUUCUGUGGCAGUAGGCUAGGUUCUUGUUAGCUUUGCUUUCAGUAAGGACUUCUGGAAGGUGAUAAUUUGUGCUGUAGACUUGCAGAUUCUCAUCCCCUAAUGCUGGCUGGAUUUUCAUUGUUUUAUUAUUUAAAACUCUAAUUCCAUUUUUUGAAAGCACCAUUGCCUGCAGGUGAAACUGGUACCAAUUUACAUUUUAGUCAACGUUAUUAAAGUCAUUCUGGAAUGUAAGCAGAAAAUGAAUUUAAUUCAUUAACUGCACAGAAUCUCCAGAGCUACAGAAUUAGGAACAAUGCCCCAAAUUGUGUCCUAUAGGACACCACCACUGCUGCUGCUGAACUUGGUGCUGUACUUUGUCACGUCAGCAGCAGUAGUAGACCUUGGAUUGGGUUUGCUGACACUGCUGCCACCCCAGGAAUGUUAUCAUGCUCCAACUCCUGUUGCUGCUAGAUUACAUCACUCAUAUUCUCUUUUUCUGUGCCAUUGGUUCACAAUUCAAGAUUUAAACUGCAUGCAGCUGAUUAGUUGAACCCAGAUCAGUACUGCAGUUGCCGGGGCUACUAAGGAGGCUCCAUUGCUGCUGCUGAGCUGUUCAUGGUGGGGAUUUGGAGCCAAGUUAUCUGAGGUGGUGGCUUCAUGUGGGGACACCGGAUCUUCAAUAUGAAUGAUAAGAAAGGUGGUUGUCCAGCGUGACGUGGAAGGACUUCUGGCUUUCAGAAUCUGGAAUACUAACUUGUGAGUAGGGUUGUCAGUGGCGUUCCUUAGAACAUUCCCACAAUGUACUGUCUCUUUUUUUCUUAUGGUGUGGUUCUUGGCUCAUUAAUCCUGUCUAUUUUCCCUCAAGCCUUGUUCUUUGCCCCUCCCUGGGAUUCUAUGAACUAGGUAAUUUCCUUCUAUAAAUCCCCUUCUGCUAAAACUAGCUCAAUUCUGUUCUAUUGCUUGCAAGUGAAAGCCCUGCCUGAUAAAUGGUUUCAGGUGGUAGAUGGCUCAGAAAAUGACAAAUACUCUCUCUGCUAAAAUGUUCAUGUAAAGAUUGAAAGUGUUGAUCUUUAUUCAGUACUUGAAUUUGUAAGAAAAAAGUGGUUAACAUACCUGUGGAUGUGUACAGCUGGUGAUUGUGACAACAGAAUAUUCUACUAUACAAGUAAAUUUGUGAGUCUCAACUCCAAAUGCUAUUUCCUCUGGGGAUGUGAAUACACAUUGGACCCAUUGUAUAUGUUACAGCAUUGCAAUUGAUAACUAGCAUUUGUUUCAGGCUUACCAGAAAUUGUUUUUAUUUUUUAUUUAUUUAUUCAUUUAUUUAUUUUUCGACAGGCAGAGUGGACAGUGAGAGAGAGAGAGAAAGGGAGACAGAGAGAAAGGUCUUCCUUUUCUGUUGGUUCACCCUCCAAUGGCCGCCGCGGCUGGUGUGCUGUGGCUGGCGCACCACGCUGAUCCGAAGCCAGGAGCCAGGUGCUUCUCCUGGUCUCCCAUGCGGGUGCAGGACCCAAGUACUUGGGCCAUCCUCCACUGCACUCCCGGGCCACAGCAGAGAGCUAGACUGGAAGAUGGGCAACUGGGACAUAAUCCAGCGCCCUGACUGGGACUAGAACCCGGUGUGCUGGCGCCACAGGUGGAGGAUUAGCCUAUUGAGCCGCGGCGCCAGCCACCAGAAAUUGUUAUAUGGAUUAUUUUAUCUUCAGAAUAAACCUUGUAAAGUAUUUAAUAUUGGCAUUUCUGUCUUGUGAAUGUAAGAAUUAAGGUUUAGAUCAGUUAAAAUGCUUUCCCAUGGUCACUCAGGUAGGUAGGCAGAGUGAGAUUUGGACCUAUAUCUAUCUGACUCUAGGUUUCUCUUUAUGACAGUAAGCAACACACACUAGCUAUUAUCACUGAAUAUAGGUUUAAUUGCUCUGCUCAGAAUUAAUAGCAUUUGAUGAUGAAGUCAAGAUGGAGAAGACAUAUUUAACAAAGAAAGCGAGAGAAACAGCAUGAGUCUCCACAGGGAAGUCGUAGACUAGAAGCUAAUGAGUCUCCUAGGUGGAUCUCUUCUCUGUAGCAUUAGGAAAAUCUUUCUGGGAUGGGUGAUGAGUAAGUUAUGCUCCUUAUGUUUGAGAGACUUGCUCCUCGAGUGUGGUCCAGCGACCAGCAGCACUGGCAUCAUCUGGGAAUUUGUUAGAAAUGGUUUUAUUUAUGAAGCAGGAAUAGCAAAUGAAGGAGACUGAGUUUUCUGGAUGGAACUUUUACAUGUUAUUGUAUAAUAGAGGCUUUUGUGUGUGUGUUUUAAUGGAAAUAUUUAUGUCUAUAAAAGUGCAACGUAGACUAGAUGUGCAAUUCAAUGUUUUCUGAUAUAUUAGCCUUCUUUUUUAUUUGUACUAUAAUAUAUCAAAUAUAUUCCUAUAUAAGUGAAAGAUCUCAUUGUUUCUUUAAUAUUUACUAAUGCCUCUAUUCUUUCUAGCUUUGAUAUUCCUAGUAGCAUCACACUCUUUACGUACUGAACAGAGAAUUCACAUCAUGGUGGUCUGGUCACCAACAAUAUUUUGCUUUCUCUGUUUCAUAUUUGUCAUAAGUCUGUGUGUGGACUUUCCUUCCACCGUCCACUGAAGCUCUCAUUUCAGGAGGCACCUAUCUUUUUUUUUCACUUUUAUUUAAUGAAUAUAAAUUUCCAAAGUACAGAAUAUUGAUUACAAUGGCUUCCCCCCCAUAACGUCCCUUGAACCCGCAACCCUCCCCUUAUCCACUCCCUCUCCCCUUCCAUUCACAUCAUGAUUCAUUUUCAAUUCUCUUUAUAUACAGAAGAUCAGUUCAGCAUACAUUAAGUAAAGAUUUCAACAGUUUGCUCCCACACAGAAACAUAAAGUGAAAAAUACUGUUUGAGUACUAGUUAUAGCAUUAGAUCUCAACGUACAGCACACUAAGGACAAAGAUCCUACCUGAGGAGUAAGUGCACAGUGACUCCUGUUGUUGACUUAACAAAUUGACACCCUUGUUUAUGGCAUCAGUAAUCACCCUAGGCUCUUGCCAUGAGCUGCCAAGGCUAUGGAAGCCCCCUGAGUUCACUGACUCUGAUCAUUUUUAGACAAGGCCAUGGUCAAAGUGGAAGUUCUCUCCUCCUUUCAGACCCUUCAGAGAAAGGUACCUCCUUCUUUGAUGACCCAUUCUUUCCACUGGGAUCUCACUCAUGGAGAUCUUUCAUUUAGGUUUUUUUUUUUCCCCAAGAGUGUCUUGGCUUUCCAUGCCUGAAAUACUCUCAUGGGCAUUUCAGCUGGAUCCGCAUGCCUUAAGGGCUGAUUAUGAGGCCAGAGUGCUGUUAGGACAUUUGCCAUUCUAUGGGUCUGCUGUGUAUCUCACUUCCCAUGUUGGAUCAUUCUCUCCCUUUUUUAUUCUAUCAGCUAGUAUUUUCAGACACUAGUCUUGUUUAUGUGAUCCCUUUGGUUCUUAGUCCUUUCAUUACAAUCAAUUGUGAACAGCAAUUGAUCACUGGGACUAGUGAGAUGGCAUUGGGACAUGUCACCUCGAUGGGAUUGAAUUGGAAUCCCCUGGUAUGUUUCUAACUCUGCUGUUUGAGGUAAGUCAGCUUGAGCAUGUCCCGAAUUGCACAUCUCUUCCCUCUCUUAUUCCCACUCUUAUAUUUAACAGCGAUCACUUUUCAGUAAAGUUUAAGCACUUAAGAAGAAUUGUGUAUUGAUUACAGCAUUCAACCAAAAGUAUUAAGUAGAACAAACAAACAAAAAUACCAAGAGGGAUAACAUAUUAAGCUGCUCAUCAACAGUCAGGGUGAGGGCUGAUCAAGUCACCGUUUCUCAUAGUGUUCAUUUCACUUUAACAGGUUUCCUUUUUGGUGCUCAGUUAGUUGUCACCUAUCAAGGAGAACAAGUGGUAUUUGUCCCUUUGGGAUUGGCUUAUUUCACUCAACAUAAUGUUUUCCAAAUUCCUAACAGGGAUCACUUUUCAGUUAAAAUUUAAACACCUAAGAAUAAUUGUGUAUUAAUUACAGAGUUCAACCAAUGAUACUAGAACAAAAAAAAUACUAAAAUGGAUAAAGUAUUACAUUGUACAUCAACCAUCAGGACAAGAGCUUGAACUUUGUAAUUAAGGAGGCACCUAUCUAUCAGUGCAGUCAGGAGAAAAGCACAGAAGCUCCUGCUGGAACCAAAAUAUUUUUCUACAGUACAGGUGGCUCUCAUAGCCUUUACCAGAUGUCUUUCCAGCGCCCUUAAGUCUUGGCAUACAAGCUCUUGGGAAAUCCAGUAUCAUCCAUGACCAAGUACUGGUUGAAUGGAAAAUUUCCCGUUAUGUGCCCAGAAAGAAUGUUUAAUGAAGACAAACAGUAUCUAUGAAUGGUUUGUUGUCCCAAUUGUUCUUAGGACCACAACUUACAGAUAAAUAAUCUUCAGGCACUAAGAUUGCGAAGAAAGCAUUUAAAAUGACACAAAUCCUUAGUAUUUUAUUAGGACACUGUCCUCAUUUUUAUGGUAUCAUUUAUUUUACUGUUAAAUUAUUAGGAAUUAUUCACCAAGAUUCAUUUUUCAAAAAUAUUUAUUGUGAUCUUUUUUCCCAAAUCAAUGGAGAUAUAAUGUAAAAUCCUUUCCUUAUAAGGAAAUAUGACUGGGAAGGUUUCUCAUGCUCAUGUUUUCAAAACAAACGAAAAAACCCAGAUGAUAGCUAUAAAGUUGAUGUUGAGCUUAAUUGAGCCAUAUCACACUGACCCUUCUAGGUUAAGACUUCUCCCUUCUCCUCGGUCCCAUUACUCAACCUGCCCCUCCUUAACAUCCAUCCUAUGGUCAACCAUGCUGACCUAGAUUUCCCUAACAGUCCGUGUGGUUGUAGAGCUUGUCUCCUCACCUUCUUUUUCAUAAAAUGCCAGUCUCCCUCAUGUCCAUAUAUAUUUUUUAAUAAAAGAUUUGUUUACGUAUUUGAAAGUUGGAGUUAGAGAGAGAGAGAGAGAGAGAGAGAGAGAGAGAUUUUUUUCAUUCACUAGCACUAGUUCACUCCCAAGAUGGCCACAAUAGUCAGGGCUAGGCCAGGCAAAAGCCAGGAACCAAGAGCUCUCAGGUCUCCCAAAUGCAUGGCAGGGGCCCAAUCACUUGCGUUAUCUUCCUCUGCUUUUCCCAGGCCAUCACCAGGGAGCUGGAUUGGAAGUGGAGCAACUGGGACUUGAACUGGUGCCCGUGAGGGAUGCUGGCAUUGCAGGUGGAAGCUUUACUUGUAAUGCUACAAUGCUGGACCCUGGGUUUAUAUUUUGAAUACCUUCUCACAUUUCGCUUCUGAAUAGAGCCUUUCCUGAUUUCCUUAUGGAGCACUGAGUACCCUCUCCUUGGGGCCUACCCUCUACCUCAAAUCCCCUUAAAACAAUCUUCACAUAGAUGUUGAAUUAAUAGUGGCAAUAAAAAGAACCAAGACUAUUUAUUAACUCUUAAGCCAGUGAUACAGGACCAGAAUAUCACAGGAAAGAAAAUGUUUGUCUUUUGUAUAUGUUUAUUUCCUAUUCAUCUAUUAAGCUCAGUGGGUUCAGAGUCCAUGGCUUCCUCAUCUUGGAAUAGCCACUGCUCUCUUCAGUGCUAAUUUUGAUCAUCUGCUCCAUGAUUCAGUGUUUAGAGGUUAAAUCAUCAAAUAAUGAGUUUAUUAAAAAACAUCACUUCAUUGGAUUGGAACUCUCAUCAUGACCUUAGAUAACCAGAUUAUAUUGCCUUUACUGAAUAUCUGAGAAAAUUUGUUUUAUUUAAAGGCUUUAUAUAUAUUUUCUUCAAAUGUCUGGAUCAGGAGCAUAGACACAUUUGUUCCCGAAUGUUUAUCCUAUUCUUCACUGGUGAUCAAUUUAGAAUGUGCCUGCUCAGGCAAGAAUAAACAGAGCAAAUGAUCUCUUUUUCCCAUAUGAACUCUUGAAUUUCACUUUUCCCUAGAAUGUACACUGCUUCAUGCCAAUAGAGGAUUUUUUAUACUGUCAUUUAAAAAAUGGAUUUUCUUUUAUCAAACCAAUAACCUUUAUAUAUGCAUUGUUUUCUCUUACGUGCAGCUUUGAGAUCAGCCUUUGUGGUGAGCUUGUCAGUGAAGGGGAGAUGUAAUUUGUCACAGCUUAGAGACAGAGACUGAGUAGCAGUCCUUCCAUCUUUUACCAAAUAAGAAAAAUCGCUUUCUCUGCCCAAACAAGAUGAAUGUACUGGGGAAACUUACUCUUUCCUGUGAUUUUCUGGCCCUGCAUCACUGGUUUAAGAGUGAGGCAUCUUCUUGGUUCUUUGCUUUUCAUUGUUUCACAGCUCUUGGUCACUGUUUACUCAAUAUGCAUGUAAACUUUUUCUAUGGGCAUUCUGGAAACUAUAAAGGCAUCCAGGUUUGUCUGUGGUGUUGUUAUUCUCCAUUUUCUGUGUUGCUUUCCUUCCUUCUGACCUCUACUUAGUGUCCUCACACCCUGACUACUCAGUCCUCCCCAGUCCUGCCUUCCCUGUUUGGCAAAGAACUCAAUGACAAAAUGAUUCUCCUUUCUCCUCCAACUAAAAAGCUUAAGAGAAAUAUCUAUCUGAAUGAGUGCCUUUCUCCAAAGAGCUACUGUUCAUUAAUGGGCCAAUGUCUUAUUCUAGGAUGAAAAUUAACAUCGUGAAACAGGUAAGAACUUCAUGUGGCACAUCCAUUAAGGAUGUGAUUCUGUGGUGGUGGUAUUUCAGACAUCUUGAAGGAUUUUCAGUUUUGAAGCUAUAAUUUCUGUUCCUCGUCUUCCAUGCAAGAAUCUAAAUGCUGUAAUGGUAAUUGUAUUCUAGUUCCUAUAUUAUCAUAGAGAUUAAGAUAAAUUCAUUUUAUUUUUAUUUUUAAAGAUCUAUUUAUUUAUUUGAAAGUCAGAGUUACACACACACACACAGAAAGAGAGGGAGGGAGGGAGGGAGAGAGAGAGAGAGAGAGAGAGAUUGAGAGAUCUUCCAUCUACUGGUUUACUUCCCAAAUGGCCACAACGGUUGGUGUUGGGUGAGUCUGAAGCCAGGAGCCAGGUGCUUCCUCCAGGUCUCCCACGUGGGUGCAGAGGCUCAAGUAUUUGAGCUAUCUUUCAUUGCUUUCCCAGGCAAAAUAGCGGGGAGCUGGAUAGAAAGUGGAGUAGCCAGGCCUCGAACUGGUGCACAAAUGGGAUAUUGGCAUUUCAGGCAGUAGCUUAACUCACUGUUCCACAAUGCCAGCCUCAACUUAUUUUAUUUUUAAAAACAUUUCUGACAGAAUGUAAAGAACAAUAGCAAUAAGAUUAUUAACCUCUCAGUAGUUCAUGGAAGCCAUCAUUAUACAUUCUAAAUUAUGGCGAAAUCUCUGGACAGAGUAUUUAAAAGUGAUGCACUCAGAUUCACAGAAUAGUUUGCCUCAGAUUACUCUCCAGAGCAGAUCACCAGAGUAGACAGAAUAUAAUUCACCAUCAAAGCAUUUCUGAUAUUAUAGAUAUGAUGAUGAUAAAUGUAGAAGAAAAUUGAGGAAAAUUGAUGAAGUAAAAGGAUAAUUUUAACUAUAAAAACAGACAGCAGAUGUCACUGUUGCUUUUUCAUUAUCCUUAACCUCACUUUUACUGGGGUUUGUUUCUAGUUAAUGACAUUUUUCAUUUUAUUUAAGAAGUCUAAUAGGUUAAACAAAUCCACAUAGUUUAAAACCUCUGUUUUUGGUUUUAUAAUUAUUAAGGCUAUGACUGUAAACCAUGCAUGAAUAAUUAUAAAGAAGAUAGCUUGUAUGUUUUAUGUGCUGAGGUCCAUUAAUUUAACAUAAGUUGUAAGGUAAUUUUUAUAAUAGCCACUGUAAGAUUCAGAAUGAAUUCUUAUUAAAAUGAGGUGUCAGUCACCUUGAAGAUCAGUUUGUCCUGAUCUUCUUUUCUUCUCUUAAAUAACCAAUCAUAUCAUUUGUAUUUGUAAAUAGAGCACAUGGAGCCAAAAUUUCUCUAAGAUGAUGAUUUCAGUUUUUAUCAUAUUAACAGUUUCAUAUAAUCAGUAUUUGGGAAGCAUCUCCAGAUCAACUUUCAAACUCCUGAUUUUCUUCCUCAUUGCAUUCUUUCUCUCCAAUCAAUUCAACUCUAGUUCUCCACUACAAUGUUUCACUUCUUUAGGCAACUAUGGAGGAUGCACAAAUUUCAGUUUCUCAUCUCUCCAUCUAAUCAGUUACCAGAUCAUGUCGAUUCUACUCUCUGUGUAUUUUAAAAAUCAGCCUCUGUUUUUUCACUACAAAUCUUAAACUUUAUAGUACACAACUGAAGUAUUUUGGUACAUACAUGCAUUUCUUUCUUUUUCUGUUUUUAAAGAGACAGAGAGAGGGCCAGCGCUGUGUGGCAGAGGGUUAACGCUCUGGUCUGAAGUACUGGCAUCCCAUAUGGACACCGGUUUGAGACCCAGCUGCUCCACUUGCAAUCCUGCGCUCUGCUAUGGCCUGGGAAAGCAGUAAAAGAUGGCCCAAGUCCUUGGGCCCCUGCACCCGUGUGGGAGACCUGGAAGAAGCUCCUGCCUCCUGGCUUCAGAUCGGUGCAGUUCCGGCUGUUGUGGCCAUCUAGGUAUUGAACCAGUGGAUGGAAGACCUCUCUCCUCUCUCUCUCUCUCUCUCUCUCUCUCUGCCUCUUCUCUCUCUGUGUAACUCUGACUUUAAAAUAAAUAAAUAUAUAUUUUUUUAAAAAAGAGAGAAUCAGAGAGAGAGAGAGAGAGAGAGAGAGAGAGAGAGAGAGAUUCUCUAUCCAUGGGUUCACUCCCAGAUGGCAACAGUCAGGGCUGAGCUGGGAGCUGAAGCUAGAAGCUGAGAGCUUCAUCUGUGUCUCCCACAUGGAUGGAGUGGCCUAAGCCCUUGGGCCAUCAUCUGCUGCUUUUCUCAGGUCAUUAACAGGGAGCUGUAUCAGAAGUAGAGCAGCUGGUAUGCAAACUGGCACCCAUAUGGGAUGCUGGCAUAGCAGGUGACAGCUUUACCUGCAGCAUCACAAUGCUGGCCCCACACAUAUACAUUUCUACAAGAACUUGGAUGAUUUUUCAGUUUCAUUGGGUUUCUGUUAUUUCAUGAAAAGGAAAUGAUGCAAACUUGGUUAUCAUGGGAAAAAUGCAGUGAGAACUAGUAAUAGUACAAUUAGAGCUUGAAAUGUUUCUUUCUCAUAAAAUCUAAUCUUUCCCUUUUAUUCAGAGGACUGCUGCUUUUCCACUGUGUCUCUGGAUAUGCUGAGCCUGUCUUAUCUUUUAUUCUAUAAAAUAAUAAACAUGAAUAAAAUGUUCCUAAUAUGUGCUUUCCAUAUAUUUACAAGGAAGCACUCAAAGAGUAUUCAGAUUUCCUUAUUUUGUUUAUAAAAUUUCAUUAUAUAUUCCAUGCUUUUAUAAAAAUGUGUCACAGGUCACUAUUUUCUAGAAAUAUUAUUUUGUUUUUUAAAAUUAAAUUGUUGAUGGGGGUAUUGAUAAUAGGGUUCAGGGAGAGAAAAGACGUGUGCCUUCCGAACACUUUUUUGAAUUCUGUAAGUAUUAGUAAGGCACUAUGUGGUGCUGUAUUCAAAUGAACUUUAAGGAACAUAUUCAGGCUUUCUAGAAUAAAUUAUUUUCUUCACUGAUAAACUGGAUUGUGGUGUUCUACAUUUGGCUCAUGUGUUGCUUAACUCAGCAAGUUUCUGAAGAGGAGUUUAGAAACAAGAGACUUAAUUCACUUGUAGGAACUUUGGUGCUCAGAGGCAUUAUUUCUGUGGUCACACCAAAGAUAUAUAUAUCUUUGUAUAUAUAUAUGUAUAUAUAUAUCUUUGUGUAUAUAUAUGUAUAUAUACACACACACUACAUCUUCAGUAUAGAGAUUGCUUUGAGACUUGACUUUAUCACUUUUUAAAAGAAGAUUUAUUUAUUUAUAUGAGAGGCAGAGUUAUAGACACCAAGAAGCAGAGACAGAAACAGAGGUCUUCCAUCCACUGGUUCACUCCCCAAAUGGCUGCAACGGGCUGAAGCUGGGCCUAUCUGAAGUCAGGAGCUGCAAGGUCCUUCCAGUUCUCCCAUGUCAGUGCAAUGGCUCAAGCACUUGAUUAUCUUGUACUGGUUUUCCUGGACAUUAACAGGGAGCUAGAUCAGAAGUGAAGAGCAGUCGAGACUUGAACUGGUGACCAGAUGAGAUUGCUGGUGCCACAGGCAGAGGCUUAACCCAUUACACCACAGUGAUGGUACCCCAACUUUGUCACUUUUAAUCUCUGUUACCUUUGUUAAGAAAUGUAGAUUCUCAUAAAUACAAUUUCUUUGUAAAUAGAUAAUAAUGCUAUCAAUAUUUUACAGGACUGUUGCGAAAAUUAGAUGAUUUGUUUUAUUUUCGCUAAUAUAUGUGUAAGGUAUACCAUGCAUUAUUCAUAUAUAUAUAUAUAUAAUCAUUGUCACAAAUAGCAAAUGUUUCCUAAACCUGUUGAACACAAGGCAUUCUGUUGGUUUUGGGAUUAUAAAAGUACAUAGUGUUCGUAGUCUUAUACCCAGAAACAUCACUGAAGUAUAUACUUACUAACAGUAACUCUGCACCUGAAAUAUUUAAAAAUUACUUUAAAAUUUGUAUUAGAGUUGAAUUUCAAAGGUUUCUUCACUUCCUCUUAUAGUAACUCUUUGAUAAUCCUAACCCUUUUAACAUCUAGACUAAUCAAGUGGAACCACCAUUUUAAGGUUUCACUUACUUUCCGUCUUUAGACUUAGACAUUCAAACAACAGAGGAGAAGAUGGGGUUUUGUUAUUAACAUGCUCUCCAUUGAUCUUUUGGUUGGGAUGUGAAUUAGUCCUGGUGAGUGGAAAUAGGGCUACUCUUCAUGCAACACCAGGUUAGAAAGUGAACUGUACCAAGAGUACAGUACACUUGGUAGCUCUUGGAAUAACUUUCUGACAGGUUUUAGUUGCAAUAAAAAAUAGACUUAUGACAUGGAAAUCAAUAGUCAUGUUUAGAACAGGGGUCCCAGUUGUUAGACCUUCCAGCUAGAGUGGGAAAGCUGAUCAUUUGUCCUGUGGUCAAAUGCCCUUGUCUGUUCUUUGGGCCCCUGCCUCAACCAAUACUACAUAGAACUGCAGAUAACUUACCUUUGUUCACUAUCAUUGCUUGCCAGUUCCUUCACAAUUUUAGGUAAUAAUCUAUCUGCUCUCAGGCAGCAGAAGUAAAAUGAUAAUAUAUGUCCACAUAUGCAUACAUUGUUGCCUGUAAUAUGUUAUCUCUAGUAAGAAUAGCUUUCCAAACCACAAUCCAUAUUGCUAAUUUUUUAAAUAAUAGUCCUAAACUGGAAGUGACAUAAUUAUCAAAUAUUGUAUGGUUGUGAGGUGAGGGGUAGGGAAUUGAAUAAGUGUAUAAGUGUUCCACUGAGUCAUCUAAGGGGGCUAGACUUUGCUAUCACCACUCUCCCAACUUCCUGACCCUGUUGAUGCAGCUUAGUGAAACACCUGUGACCAUGAUGGCAAUGAUGUAGUGUCUCAAAGGCCACAGCUAUUGUCCCUUCCCUCCCCUUCCCUCCCCUCCAUCCCCUCCUCUCCCUUCUCCUCUCUUCCCCUCUCCCUCUCCCCCCCCUCCAUUUCUCUCCCUUCCCCUUCCCGUCUUCCUUUUUUGUGUUCUCUCUCUCUCUCUUUUUUUUUUUUUUAAAGAUUUUUAUUUAUUUAUUUGACAGGUAGAGUAUAGACAGUGAGAGAGAGACAGAGAGAGAAAGGUCUUCCUUCUGCUGGUUCACUCCCCAAAUGGCCGCAACGGCUGGAGCUGCGGUGAUCUGAAGCCAGGAGCCAGGUGCCUCCUCCUGGUCUCCCAUGUGGGUGCAGAGGCCCAGGUACUUGGGCCGUCUUCUACCGCUAUCCCAGGCCACAGCAGAGAGCUGGACUGGAAGAGGAGCAACUGGGACUAGAACCCAGCGCCCAUAUGGGAUGUAGGUACCGCAGGCAGAGGAUUAACCUAGUACGGCAUGGCACCGGCCCCUGUGUUCUCUUUUCUUAGAAUUAGUGGAAUUCAACCAAUAUAAAGAGCAGAUAGUACAUUGAGGUUUUUAAAAUGUAAGCAAAUAUUUUGGGCUUAUAUGAUAGAUAAAGAAAACAAUUGUGUGGCAAGGAAUCAGAGUCUCCUUUGAUUAAUUAGCAAAGCAUUGGUGUUUUAAAAAGAAUUUUUAAGAAAAUAUUUAAUUAUUAAAUCCACCAAAUCCUGGAGUUAUAUUUGAUAAUCCUUCAGGUUUCUCCCAAGCAUGAUGUUUUAGAGCACCUCACACACUGUAAAUUUCUUUCGGUACAUUCUGUGAUCACUGCUUCUUCUUGCCUUCAGUCAUAAGCACUUAUGGUUGGACUUUUGUGGUCUUUUUUGGUAUUGAUAGUGUUAACUGAAUUUUUGUCUUCUGGCACUUGGAUCACAUGGUGUUCUUCUUUUGUUAAAUAUGUGCCUCAAGAGAGCUUUCCUAAAAUAAAAUUCAGUCGCCCUUUUGUUUUCAGCAUGAUUGCAUCUAAUUAUAUAAUUAGGAUAAAUAUAUGCAAUCAGAAGCAAGUAAUAAAUAUUAGGUUCUACCUUUUUAAGUUUUGCUUUUGAUAGAAAUGCCUCAGGGACAGAGCUUUCUUAUUUAUGCCUGCUAAUACCUUGUACUGUGUUGUGCACGUACCAGGAACUCAGCAGUUAUUUGCUGAAUUAAUGAAGUAUUUUUAAGAUGCUGUGCAAGCCUCAUCUAAAAAUGUGCAAAUUCUCUCAGAGACUAGAAAUAUUUUUCAAAGUUAUUUAAAGCCAUAUUAUUUUCUGGACCAUGUAUCAGUUUGAAAUAAAUUGAUUUAUCAAGCUGCGUGUUUGGCACAGUGAUGGCUGUGAGCACAUCCUUUGUCCAAGGAAGAACAAUGAUUUUUAUAGGUCGUAAGUUAGGUCAGCGAGUCAUCGUAGAUUUACUGUGUUUCUGUUGCUGUUCCCUCAGAUUUGAUCUGGCUUUUCUCUUGUACAUUCUGAGCUUAUUUAGGAGUGUGUCAGAACAAGCUGUCUCUCCAGACUGAAUUGUUAGCCUUUAGGGCAGGGACCACGUUGUUAUGUAGUGUUCAGAGCAGGACACAGGGGAGAGCUACCCAGAUAACAAAGGACAGGGCUGAGCUCAAGUGGGUGACCUGGUUCCUUGGCCUGGACACCACAGGCUAGAGAGCACAUGCCAUUUUCCUCAGAGUUUUCUUUCUUGACAACCCCUCUGAAGCUAUUCUUCACUUGUUAGGAAGGCUGAUUUUAUUUUGCCUUUUAAAACACAUGCCUAUAUCAUAACUUGCCCACUGUCAUUUUUUCAUAAAUUCCAGUGUAAGAACUUAAACCAUAUCUUUUCUUAUUUGUGUUUUUAUACUCAAUACCCAGCAUACACAAGCAUAUGAUAAGUGGUGGUUGAGUCAAAUUGCUUUGAUACUUUGGCAGCAGGUUGUUGAGAACAGAAUAAAACCCAGACUCAUCCCACAUUUCCUGUAUCCCCCCCACCUUUUUUUUUCUUUGAAGAUUUAUUUAUUUGAAAGAGUUACAGAGAGGCAGAGGCAGAGAGAGAAUCUUCCAUCCGCUGGUUCACUCCCCAAAUGACUGCAAUGGCCAGAGCUGGGCUCAUCUGAAGCCAGAAGCCAGAACUUCUUCCAGGUCUCCCACACGGGUGCAGAGGCCCAAGAACUUGGGCCAUCUUCUACUGCUUUCCCAGAGAUCUGCUUGGGAAGUGGAGCAGCUGGGACUCCAGCUGGUGUCCAUAUGGAAUGCCGGCACUGCUGGUGGCAGCUUUACUCACUAUAUACCACAGUGCUGUCCUCUCCUGUCUCCUUUUAAAAAAAAUAGUGUAUUCCAGUGGCACUUUGAUUCUCACCCAGCAUAUAGCUUUGUUAAGGGUUGCCAUAGAUCUUAAGGCCACGGGAUUAAUGAAAACAACAUGUGGGAAGCAACUUGGACUAGACUAAGUUACUGGAAUUAAGACUUAUUCUAUGCAUCUGCUCUCCCACAAUAUGGCGCUGAGAAGGGAGUAACAACUUCUACGCAGCUGCCUCUCGCCAAUUUGAUUGACUGAGCUGCAGGAGCUGAUCUUGAUUGGAGGAGAGCAGCGCGCUCAGCGUGUGGGUAGCAGAGCACGGAUUGGUGGAAGAGGACUAUAAAGGAGGAGAGAGACAACAUGCACCAGGAACAUCUAAGGGGAACAUCUAUCUGAAGGAACAUCUGUGCAGCCCCCGAGAGAGCCGGCCGGCCGGCGGUGUGCCGCUCCCCCGCGGAAGUGGGGAAAGUGGCCAGGGGGAACCGCCCUUCCACGGAGGUGGAAGGGACGGUAGCCAACCCGGGAAGAACCAGCAGCAAACCCGGGGAGGGCCGAGCAGACAAAAGAACAGCGCAGGGUCCUGUGUCGUUCCUCCACGAAGAGGGGGAGCGACAUAAUGGUGCUGUGACUCGGAUAUGAAGCCUAGGCAGGGUUUAGUGUCGUUCCUCCACGAAGAGGGGGAGCGACACAACAGACUUGGAAAAUGCAGUUUGUAAUUAAGAUUGGCAUUGUCUUGGGUUUAUAGCGUUCACACUCUGGGGAUGCUUGGUUCUCCUUUGUUUGGAGAGGUUUGUGCUUUAUAAGGGGUCCAGAGGAACUAGGAAGCUGGGAAUGGGAAGAUUUAUAAUUCUUAUUAAAAAUAGACUUUUCUAAUGAAGGUGUAAUUGAAACCUUAUAAAACAUCUAUUUUUGUGCUUUUGCUGAACUUGUUUAAACUAUUAUUGCUCUGUGCCCGUAUGGCAGGAUAAGAAACUAUUCUGACAGUAAAACAUCCAUUUGAGAAAGAUGGUAAAUUUAUUGGGAACAUUUCAGGGUUGAAGCAUAUUUGUAAUUGUGAGAUAUGGCCUCAAUGGUUAAUCAUCAUGAAAAACUGUAAAGAAGUGACUCUAAUAUAGUAGAUUAAUGGCACUUGAUUUUACUGCCCAAACCUGAAAUCAUCAUCUACCAAAAACAGGUUUGCAGUCAUUGUAGUGAUUCAUCCCUGGCUAGGUUAGAUCCCCAGAACUGUGGCUUUUCUUUUUCUCUGGUUUCCCUAGGAUUGUUGUUUUCAAGUGUAGUGAGAUGAUUCAAAUCAUUGCAGAUUUGACAUUUGAACAGAAGUUAACACAGACCUGUGGUUAAUCUGUUUGGCCUCUUUUUAGACCAGUAUGAAAUGGAGAAAAGAAAGUAUUAUUUUUUGAGCAUUUCCUAUGUUUCAGGAAUGUUAGCCAAAUGUAGGUGUUAUUCUCAUUGAUCGAUGAGAAAUGUGAAACCUUGAGUAAUUAAAUGUUUUGCUCAAGGCUGUACCAUUUAUAAGAAGUCAGCUAGGAUCCAAACUAGACUGAAUGACUUCAAGGUGCAUAUGCUUCUGCAUCCUCCAAAGAUUUUCCCUGCAUUUUGGAUUCUUUAUAAAUAUUUUGAAUAAAAUUGUUUAACAAUCUGACAUGUUUACUACUUGAUAAAGGCCUGGGGCCGAACACUAUUUUUUCCCAAAAUAAUUCUAGCAGUUGGUACUUAAAAUGUGAAAUCUCAAUUGAAAUACUGUAAUUUUCUCUUCUAUCAUUACUUUCUGAGAAAAAAUUAAAAAUAGCAGAUUCCAAACAGCAAUAUCUUUUUUUCUUGAAAGGCAGGAGAAAAUAAACAGAGGGGAACACAAAUAGAUAGGCUAAGGUCUCUAUCCUUUAGGAGUUUGCCGCUAAGUGGCAAUGAUAGUAGAUGUCGCAGUAAUAUUUGUAAUAUGGGAUAGAAUGUUUUAAUGCUUUCAGAAAGGAUUAAAGCAGAGUUGUAAAAGCUCAAGGAGUGAUGGUUUCUAAUUAACAAGGAUUAGAAAGCAUUUGUCAAAGAAGGAACAUCUGAUCUGGAAUUUAGAGAGGUGAGUACAUUUUAACAGAUGCCAAGAACAGGAACUUCAGGCAGAGGGAGGAGUUUGAGGAUAGUUAUGGAGGGAGAAAUGUCAAAGGCAGGAUAAUUAGUUUAAUCUGCCUGCAUCAUAGGUUGUGUUAAAGGCAGUGGAAAAGCUAAGACAGGGAAGUGUACUUGAGGGUACUUGAGGAUGGAACUUAAGAAGCCUCGUGCAGAUGAUAUUUAAGUUUCUUUUCAACAGUUUUGUGAUCCUAUAAUUCUCUGCAUGCCACGACAAAGGUACUUAGGUUUUAGUAUGGAAACAGUUGUGAGUCUCAAAAAUAUUUGUUGGGACACUUUAUCUUCAUUUGAUGUUCUUAUAGGUGCCACAGGGGUGACAUAGUCAGAGCCAUGCUUUGUACACCUAGAUUUUGGCAGCUUAUUUUGUCAACAAUGUGUAGUGUUGAAUGAAGUGGAAAAGAAUUGAUGAUUAGAAGUAAGAAGACUGUCGAAAUAAUAUAGAUUAGAAAAUAGUAUAGAUGGUGCUACUAGAAAAUAAUAUAGGUUAGGAAAAAUUGUAUAGAUUAGAAAUAAAGUUCUAAUCUUUGAUAGAAUUGUAAAGAAUACAGAGUUAGGGACCAGGGUGGGUGUUAUAGCAGCUUAGAUGCUGCUUGGGAUACCUGCAUCCCUCGCUGGAGUCCUGGUUCUGCUCCUAAUGCCGACUUCCUGUUAAUGCACACCCUUGGAGGCAGUGGUGAUAGCUCAAGUAGUUGUUCCUUGCCACUCAUGUGGCAGACCCAGACUGAGUUCCUGGCUCUUGGCUUCAGGCUGCCAUUGCUCCAGCUGUUACAGGCAUUUUGGGAUACAGCAGAUGAGAUGUCUGUCUCUCUCUGCCUUCCUUAUAAAAUAAAUAAAUACAUAGCAAUUUAAACCAAGAUAUGGGGAUAAAUAUAAGACUAAUUUUAGAAUUGUAUUUUACAGGCUUGAGCAACUGAUUGAUUGUGGAUUUAGUGGGGAUAGUCUUGGAAAUUGAGAGUUCAAAAUUAAUUUGAAAGUUGGAGGCUGGCAGGUAAUCUGAAUUACUGUAUGAUUAAUAGAUACAGACAUUCUAAUAGUAAACACACUUAGACACAGAAGCAUACACAAGAUACAAUACUUUUGCAAAGAUAACUCCUAGUAGUUGUCACCAUGGAUUUGGCCGUCUUUAGUGCCUAUUAGUAGAGAAUAAAACAGCUCUAACUUCAAAGUCGAUUUGGAUAAAAUGACAUCAGGAAAUUCCACUGUAUUUCUUUUUAAAUAAAAAGUCAAAGGCCCUUCCUCAGGCUCUUUUGGUUACUUAAUUUUCUUAUCCUUAAUUGUCUCCUUCUAAGAAUAGAAGAAAUAAGAAUAAAAAAAAUAGAAGAAAUAGAAUAAAAAAGUGGGGCCACUUUAUCAACUUGGGCAGAUUGAUCUUUUUGAGGUUAGAUUUCACUAUAUUAAUAGAUGUCCAGCAGCUCCAAAAUCUAUUUAAUUUAUGUGGGCAACAGUUUUUAGGCCACUAACUAGAUACAUUGUCUUAUCUAAUCAAACUGAAAUUGUUUCUUUUUUUCUUUAGAAUGAAAGGGUUCUGUUUUUUUUUUAAAUUAAUUUAUUUAUUUGAAAGUUACACAGAGAGAGAAGGAGAGGCAGAGAAAGAGAGGUCUUCCAUCCACUAGUUCACUCCCUAAUUGGCCACAACGGACCGAGCUGCACUGAUCCAAACAUCUACAGCCAACUUAUAUUUGAUCAAGGAUCUAAAACCAAUUCCUGGAGCAAGGACAGUCUAUUCAAUAAAUGGUGCUGGGAAAACUGGAUUUCCACGUGCAGAAGCAUGAAGCAAGACCCCUACCUUACACCUUACACAAAAAUCCACUCAACAUGGAUUAAAGACCUAAAUCUAUGACCUGACACCAUCAAGUUAUUAGAGAACAUUGGAGAAACCCUUCAAGAUAUUGGCACAGGCAAAGAAUUUUUGGAAAAGACCUGGGAGGCACAGGCAGUCAAAGCCAAAAUCAACUAUUGGGAUUGCAUCAAAUUGAGAAGUUUCUGUACUGCAAAAGAAGCAGUCAGGAGAGUGAAGAGACAACCGACAGAAUGGGAAAAUAGAUUUGCAAACUAUGCAACAGAUAAAGGGUUAAUAACCAGAAUCUACAAAGAAAUCAAGAAACUCCACAAAAACAAAACAAACAACCCACUUAAGAGAUGGGCCAAAGACCUCAAUAGACAUUUUUCAAAAGAGGAAAUCCAAAUGGCCAACAGGCACAUGAAAAAAUGUUCAAGGUCACUAGCAAUCGGAGAAAUGCAAAUCAAAACCACAAUGAGGUUUCACCUCACCCCAGUUAGAAUGGCUCACAUUCAGAAAUCUACCAACAACAGAUGCUGGCGAGGAUGUGGGGAAAAAGGGACACUAACCCACUGUUGGUGGCAAUGCAAACUGGUUAAGCCACUAUGGAAGUCAGUCUGGAGAUUCCUCAGAAACCUGAAGAUAACCCUACCAUUCAACCCAGCCAUCCCACUCCUUGGAAUUUACCCAAAGGAAUUUAAAUUGGCAAACAAAAAAGCGGUCUGCACCCUAAUGUUUAUUGCAGCUCAAUUCACAAUAGCCAAGACCUGGAACCAACCUACAUGCCCAUCAACGGUAGACUGGAUAAAGAAAUUAUGGGACAUGUACUCUAUAGAAUACUAUACCGCAGUAAGAAACAACAAAAUCCAGUCAUUUGCAGCAAAAUGGAGGAAUCUGGAACACAUCAUGCUGAGUGAAAUAAGCCAGUCCCAAAGGGACAAAUACCAUAUGUUCUCCCUGAUCGGUGACAACUGACUGAACACAAAAAAGGAAACCUGUUGAAGUGAAAUGGACACUAUGAGAAAUGGUGACUUGAUCAGCAUAGCCCUGACUGUUAAUGAACAACUUAAUACAUUAUCCCUCUUAGUAGUUUUUUUUGUCUGUUCUACUUAAUAUGACUGGUUUAAUUCUGUAAUUAAUACACAGCUAUUCUUAAGUGUUGAAAAUUAACUGAAAUGUGAUCCCUGUUAAACAUAAGAGUGGGAAUAAGAGAGGGAAGAGAUGUACAAUUUGGGACAUGCUCAAGCUGACUUGCCCCAAAUGGUAGAGUUAGAAACAUACCAGGGGACUCCAAUUUAAUCCCAUCAAGGUGGCAUGUACCAAUGCCAUCUCACUAGUCCAAGUGAUCAAUUUCUGUUCACAAUUGAUCAUAAUGAAAGGACUAAGAGUCAAAGGGAGCACAUAAACAAGUCUAGUACCUGCUAAUACUAACCGAUAGAAUAAAUAAAGGGGAGAGUGAUCCAACAUGGGAAGUGAGAUACUCAACAGACUUAUAGAAUGGCAGAUGUCCUAAACAGCACUCUGGCCUCAGAAUCAGCCCUAAAGGCUUUCCAAUCUGGCUGAAAAGCCCAUGAGAGUAUUUCAGGCAUGGAAAGCCAAGACACUCUGGCAAAAA